GAUGAAGAACGUAGCGAAAUGCGAUAAGUAGUGUGAAUUGCAGAAUUCAGUGAAUCAUCGAAUCUUUGAACGCACAUUGCGCCUUCUAGUAUUCUGGGAGGCAUGCCUGUUUGAGCGUCAUUAAACCUCUCUCAAGUUUGAUUACUUGGAUGUGAAGGAAGAGUACCUUAAACUUAAGGAGUGUUCUCCUUUGAAAUUGAUUAGCAGAUGGUAAUGUUAUUAAAUCCCUGAUGUUGUAAGAAAUAACAGUGGUUUUGUAGACUAUUAUCUAGUUUUAAAUUAUAAUUUUUAUUAUGGUUGACCUCAAAUCAGGUAAGGAUACCCGCUGAACUUAAGCAUAUCAAUAAGCGGAGGA
rnacentral:misc_RNA from 1 species